CCAAAAUUCACAGAGAGUUGAGUAAAGUGGAAAGAAGGGGCGAUGUGGGACGGAAUUAACAGAUAUGGGUAAAGUUAAAUGUGUUUAAAGAUAUAUAUCAUAGGAUGUGGAGAGUCCCAGAUGACACACGAUGGGAGCUAGACCUAAACAAAGUCCGUAAUGUAACGUAUGAUAUAUGUUGAUAAAUGUUGAUACUGCUUUCCAUCACUUUCAUACCCUUAAAUGAGAUACAACCAACUUGUCACCCACACGUGCAACAAGAAAACUGACUCAGAACAGGGACCACCCACAGUACCUAGCGCCAUGUCCACAAGAG